CCCCAGGUUAUUCUCCUCCUCUCCCCUGUAACUAUUCCCCAGGUUAUUCCCCUCUCCUCUCCCCUGUAACUAUUCCCCAGGUUAUUCUCCUCUCCUCUGUAACUAUUCCCCAGGUUAUUCCUCUGUAACUAUUCCCCAGGUUAUUCUCCUCUCCUCUGUAACUAUUCCCCAGGUUAUUCCCUCCUCCUCUCCUCUGUAACUAUUCCCCAGGUUAUUCUCCUCCUCUCUUCUGUAACUAUUCCCCAGGUUAUUCCCCCCUCCUCUCCUCUGUAACUAUUCCCCAGGUUAUUCCACCUCCUCUCCCCUGUAACUAUUCCCCAGGUUAUUCCACUCUCCU
ensembl:lncRNA